AUGACAUUUGGUUGUGACACACUUCCUCUUUUGCAAAAGAUAAGGCACUGAUUUAAUUCUGAUUGCUGGUCUCUGUCUCAUUUAUAUUAACGUCUUAAUUUAAUUUAUCUAACAGUUUAGUGCAGCUAAAGACAGUAUGGGUGGACACAGUAAGGCACAGAACUGAGGCAGUAUUACAUGUGUCAUAGGAUCAUAUGCAUUGGAUGUAGGGCUACUACAUAUUCACUGACAAGAUGACGGUGUCAGAGGUCAUGAUUCUCAUCAAAAGAAGUCAAGGAAGUAAAUUAUUACCAAUUGACAAGAAGUACCAGGAAAUUCAGCACAUAUGUGCUUAGCGGUUAUUCAGCAUACUUCACAUUUCACAGACUUGGAACAUUUCCUGCUUGGUGACUUUUGACUUUUUUGGCUAUCUGGAGUGACGUGCCUUACCCAUCGGCCCAACCCAUUAUUAGCAUCAACCAAAACAAAACACAAUGCUAUGCAAAAGUCAAGGAACAUGUCUAUCUCUCUCUCUCCAAAACAAAAUACAGCAACAUCACAUUUUGUGGGAGGGACAGUGUUUGGGGUAUUUGCGGGCUUUUGGGGGUGACUGAAGAGACUGGCCAACACUUACAAAGGCUGUUAGAAAACACAAACAAAGCUUUGCACGGACCCUGACUCUUAACCCUGUUUUAAUUAGCGUAACCUUAGAAGUGCCUUUGUAACGCCUCUGUUUGGCAGUCCGGCCCCCCUCAGAGCCGGGGCAUGCAGGGGAGGGUAUAAAAGCACCGUGGCUCGUUCCAGUUAGGCUUUAGACCUACGGGAGCGCACAUACAAGACACACAAGUGUUGUUCCUCCCUAACCUGUUUGCCUUUUAAAGAAUCCUGCCAAAAUGUUGUCGCGGACACUUGUUGUUUCCUUGCUUUUUGCUGUAGCUGGUGUUGUUUUAUCUGCACCAGUGACAGAUGGACAAGACUCAGAUGACAGAGCAGCUCCAGUCAUAGCAUUCAUCAAUGGAGAAAACCGUGAUGAUCAGACCCCUACAAGUCCAGCCCAAGGAGUCUCAGAUGCAGAUGCAAGCGUGGAAGACACUACCACUAGUCCCGAUUCCCAAGAGUCAUCUGACACCGUGACAGAGAAGAAUGACUCUACUGAUGCACAAGAUGGAGAUGAUACGUCUGAAGAAAUGGCAGUGACAGACGACAAAGAGACUUCUGAGACUGACACAACCGAGGAGUCAGAUAACUCAGAAAUUGACAAAGACAACAGUGCCGUCGCCGAUAAGGAUGACAACAGUGAGGAGGCUGAUGCCAGCGAGCAGCAGGAUUCACCAGACAACGUCGACACCGAAAGCGACGAAGCUUCUCCAGAUAAGGCAGACAGCGAGGACAACACUGACGAAAACACGAUGGAGAGUGACGAGCAGACAGUCAAUGACAAGGUUGAUGGUGAAAGUGAAGCGGCCUCAGAGGACAAAGAGAGCGACGAGGCCAGUGACACUAACAAGGCCAAAGACACUGACGAGGCAAAAGACACGGACAAGGAAACACCGGACUCAUCAGACGAGGAAGCGAAAGUGGUCGGCAAUCCAGACUUUGACAGUGCCGAGGCCAAUUUGGGCAAAGGGGUGGUUGAUGUCAAAGAAAACAGCACAGAAAUAGACAGCACAUCCAAUUCAGAGGAAGAGGACGUAGUAGAGGAGAAAGAGGACAGUGCAAACUCAGAGGACGACGAAGAAGCCUCCCCCGACAAAGACUCAGCUGACAAAGAGUCGGACGAUGAGAUGGACACCAGCAGUGAGGAAGACUCUGAGGACAAAGACAAAAAGGCCAAAGACAAAGACGCCGAAGACUGGAGCCCAGAAGAGGAGUUAGAAGCUGAGGACAAAGACAAAAAGGCCAAAGACAAAGACGCCGAAGACAAGAGCUCAGAAGAGGAGUCAGACGCUGAGGACAAAGACAAAAAGGCCAAAGACAAAGACGCCGAAGACAAGAGCUCAGAAGAGGAGUCAGACGCUGAGGACAAAGACAAAAAGGCCAAAGACAAAGACGCCGAAGACAAGAGCUCAGAAGAGGAGUCAGACGCUGAGGACAAAGACAAAAAGGCCAAAGACAAAGACGCCGAAGACAAGAGCUCAGAAGAGGAUUCAGACGCUGAGGAGGCAGGAGAGUCCAAAGAGGCGGGAGAAAGCAAGCAGGAGGUGGAGGCUGGAGACGACAGUGACGAGGAUGACAAGAGCAAAGCUAAGAACGAGGAGGAGGAAGGGGACGCCGCCGGCAGCCAGGAGGCAGGGGCCUCCACCAAAGAAGAAGGAGAUUCCAUCAGCGAGGAAGACGACAUGAAGAGCAUGAUGACGCUGGAAGAGGGCAUGCCCGCGAGCAGCCAGGACCCCUUCGAGGAGGAGAUGCACGACAGCGCCAGCCAAGACUCAGAGUACGCCACCAAGGAGGAGAGUGAGGAGGAGAAGAGCGCUGAGUCAUCGGACGACAAAGAGAGCAAGAACGCCAGCAAGAAAGACAAAGACAGCAUGGAGGACAAUUCAGAAGAGGAUGCAGACAAAGUUGACAAGGAGGAUACAUCAGAGUCCAUCUCAAAAGAGGAAAGCAUGGAGAAGAGCACUGAGGCAGAUUCCACAAAUGAAGACGAUGAUACUGACACCACAUCUGAGGAGAUAAUGUCCUCUGAGGCAGAUGACAAGACUGCUGCAGUCACUGCUGAAGCACCGGAUCAACCAGACAAGCCAGAUGAUACAACACAAGGUGUCCCUGCUGUCCCUGCUAACACCAGUCAGAGUUCCUAGCAUUCUGGCUUGUACCAGUAGGUUAUGGUGGAGUCUAUACAACAGAAUCAUCAUGAAAAGACACAAAGGAAAUCUACUGAUGCAGUCACAAUAACAAAAAAAAGCAUUUUCGGGGCUGGACAAACUAUUUCUUAUUUCCUCUACCUUCUCACUUCCCCCACUUCCUCCCAAAACAAGUAAAGUUUUCUUUAUAGGGUGAGGAGCUAUGAAUUAAAUUAUUCAACGUUUUGUUCACAGAAUUCACAACUUGAAUAUUUUCAUUUUUUAACAAACACCUAUGCAAAGUGAUGACUAUUGGGACGGUGGUUUUAGGAGCCCCCAUGUCCUAUGUUUAUGCGGCUCAUAGCCUUAAAAUCCUUGACAUUGUGAAACACACAACUGCUACUUUUACUGAAAAGAACAUUGGUUUGAUAUCUGUGCAAUUCUGCUUGAUUUUCUCUGUCUAAAAAAAUACAGUGCUCAAAUGUCGUAGGGCUGUGAUGCAUCUGCAUGUUUUGGGACUUUCUCUGCAUUCUAGUUAUGCUUUUCCACAUUGAUACAACUCUUUCUUCAGAUAACUGCUGCUAAGUCAAAACAAAAUUUUCCUGACUCUCAGAUAAACGUUUUGCUUGUGUUAAAACAACAGACAAAUAUCUCGCUGUAACAAAACAAUUUCCACAAAAAAAGGAGUGUACAGACAUUUUAUGAGGCAAUUUCGUUAUGCACGUCUCUACCUUUUGAGGAUUUAUGACUAAUAUUGUAGUGUUUGUGUAAGAGCAAUGUCGAUGAAUUAUUGUAAUGACAAGAGAUGUAUAGAUAUAUCAGUAAUGUCAUUUUAAUAUGUACACAGGGAGCAAAUCGAAUAAAGCCUGAGUGGUCAGAAAAAAAAAUCAGGGGUCACAUUUCCUUUGGUAAGAGGGGAGUGGAGAAGUUCAGUGUGUGGCCCUGUGUGACCUGCCCAUGUUUGUGAGUGUCUUUGGGGGGCAAAGAACUGUGGCCCCUUUGUGGACUUCCUGUCGCCCUGAUGGAGAGUCAGUUCGUGGAGCCAAAAAACACAAGAUGUUUCACCUUCAAAUGGUUUCUUGUUUUCCUUAAAAGGUUCCCUGCCUGGCAUACAAAUAAGGGCUGACCAGCAGGUGAAUAAAAGCAGCGUAAGAAGUUCCCUCCGGCUCAGUUUGCUUUGAAAAGAGGGCAAUGUGUGUGGUAACAGAUGAA
ensembl:lncRNA